UGGACCAGUGAUAACAGCUAUCUGCGAACGAGUUGCAGAGGAUGAAUGGCAUGUGUCUAGAACUCUGAGGUCUAA